CGCGCCGCGCCGCAUUAAUCUCGAAUGAAAAUGGCGUUCGAGAGAAAGUCGAUACAGUCUAAUGGUACAAAAAAAUUAAAUCUGCUGGAUAUUAAGAAGAAUACUAGUAUGAUCAGUUGAAAUAAUACUACAGGAGAGCAGUUUUCUGAAAAGCUGUUUAUGACCAAAUAUUUGAAAUAUGAAUCCAAUCAAUAAGAGUCAAUAAAAUUAUUUUAAGAAUUCCUACCAAUGGAGCCAUCGACUUGAUAAGUGUUUUUAAAUACUAAUUUGAAGUUGGUCUUGGAUUACACAAACAACGGGCACCAUUUUUAUUACUUCAUAUAUUUUGAAAGUGUACUGAUGCAUCUUCUAAUGAGGUAUAUAAGUUGAAAUGUAGUAAGUUCAUUUUAUCCUAUUUAAACCAAUAAUCUUGCCCUAAAAUCAGCAUAAUAUUGUAUUUGCUUAUUUGCUUUUUUUUGUCAUAUUUUUGUAUAAUAAUGGAUUAUGAAUAAUUUCACAAAACUUAUCAUACUAACUACUUUUUUAUUAAUAUCAUUUAUAUUGAUUUACAAUGAAUUUAUAAAUCAAUAAAGAAAUGAUUCAUAAAUUUUUAUUAUAUUUUUUGUAAUUAUUUUGAAAAUACAUAGCACAAAAUGUAAGUAGUGAAUAUAGUCAAAAUUAGUUAUUUUGAAUGAUACUAAUUAAAAAAUUAUUUGAAAUGAAGUCACAAUUUUAAAAAGUAAUUAAAGGUAAGUGAAGAAUGAAUUUAAUAAAAGGUAAGAAUGAAAAUUGCAAAAUGUAUGAAGUCUAAUUCUAGUUUUUGAGUUUUGUAUAUAUUUCUAUGUGUAAAUGAAGCAGCUGCAAUAAAAUUUUGAAAAACAUUGGAUUUUUGAGAUUGAAUACAGCGAAUUUGCCAUUUUUCUAUUGGUGAGAGAUUAUAAUUUAUACAGGUGAUGUGAUUUUCUUCAAAUUUUAUGGUGAAUUUAUUGUGAAGAUUUAUCGUACUACAGAUGCAUUGGAAGCAAUACACUCAGGAACCUGAAAUUUGUGACUCACACUUCAUAAUGUCCAUAAUAUUUUAAGAUUCAAAACUGUAAUUAAUUUCAUUUUUGAAUUUGAAUAUUUUCAUA